rnacentral:rRNA from 1 species
AGUGAACGCUGGCGGUAGGCCUAACACAUGCAAGUCGAACGGCAGCACAGUAAGAGCUUGCUCUUACGGGUGGCGAGUGGCGGACGGGUGAGGAAUACAUCGGAAUCUACUUUUUCGUGGGGGAUAACGUAGGGAAACUUACGCUAAUACCGCAUACGACCUACGGGUGAAAGCAGGGGAUCUUCGGACCUUGCGCGAUUGAAUGAGCCGAUGUCGGAUUAGCUAGUUGGCGGGGUAAGGGCCCACCAAGGCGACGAUCCGUAGCUGGUCUGAGAGGAUGAUCAGCCACACUGGAACUGAGACACGGUCCAGACUCCUACGGGAGGCAGCAGUGGGGAAUAUUGGACAAUGGGCGCAAGCCUGAUCCAGCCAUACCGCGUGGAUGAAGAAGGCCUUCGGGUUGUAAAGCCCUUUUGUUGGGAAAGAAAAGCAGCAGGUUAAUACCCCGCUGUUCUGACGGUACCCAAAGAAUAAGCACCGGCUAACUUCGUG